rnacentral:tRNA from 1 species
UAAAAUAAAGCGGAAAUUUAGCAUUUCAUUUACAUUGAAAAAGAUAAUUGAUACAAGUCGAUUUGUUUUAA